rnacentral:rRNA from 1 species
GAUGAACGCUAGCGGCAGGCUUAACACAUGCAAGUCGAGGGGUAGGAGAAGCUUGCUUUUCUGAGACCGGCGCACGGGUGCGUAACGCGUAUGCAAUCUACCUUUCACAGAGGGAUAGCCCAGAGAAAUUUGGAUUAAUACCUCAUAGUAUAAUUGAAUGGCAUCAUUUAAUUAUUAAAGAUUUAUCGGUGAAAGAUGAGCAUGCGUCCCAUUAGCUAGUUGGUAUGGUAACGGCAUACCAAGGCAACGAUGGGUAGGGGUCCUGAGAGGGAGAUCCCCCACACUGGUACUGAGACACGGACCAGACUCCUACGGGAGGCAGCAGUGAGGAAUAUUGGACAAUGGGCGCAAGCCUGAUCCAGCCAUGCCGCGUGCAGGAUGACGGUCCUAUGGAUUGUAAACUGCUUUUAUACAGGAAGAAACCCCUCUACGUGUAGAGACUUGACGGUACUGUAAGAAUAAGGAUCGGCUAACUCCGUGCCAGCAGCCGCGGUAAUACGGAGGAUCCAAGCGUUAUCCGGAAUCAUUGGGUUUAAAGGGUCCGUAGGCGGUCAGGUAAGUCAGUGGUGAAAGCCCAUCGCUCAACGGUGGAACGGCCAUUGAUACUGUCUGACUUGAAUUAUUAGGAAGUAACUAGAAUAUGUAGUGUAGCGGUGAAAUGCUUAGAGAUUACAUGGAAUACCAAUUGCGAAGGCAGGUUACUACUAAUUGAUUGACGCUGAUGGACGAAAGCGUAGGUAGCGAACAGGAUUAGAUACCCUGGUAGUCCACGCCGUAAACGAUGGAUACUAGCUGUUGGGAGCAAUCUCAGUGGCUAAGCGAAAGUGAUAAGUAUCCCACCUGGGGAGUACGAACGCAAGUUUGAAACUCAAAGGAAUUGACGGGGGCCCGCACAAGCGGUGGAGCAUGUGGUUUAAUUCGAUGAUACGCGAGGAACCUUACCAAGGCUUAAAUGUAGAUUGACCGGUUGGAAACAG